GAUGAACGCUGGCGGCGUGCCUAAUACAUGCAAGUCGAGCGAACAGACGAGGAUCUUGCUCCUCUGACGUUAGCGGCGGACGGGUGAGUAACACGUGGAUAACCUACCUAUAAGACUGGGAUAACUUCGGGAAACCGGAGCUAAUACCGGAUAAUAUAUUGAACCGCAUGGUUCAAUAGUGAAAUACGGUUUUGCUGUCACUUAUAGAUGGAUCCGCGCCGCAUUAGCUAGUUGGUAAGGUAACGGCUUACCAAGGCAACGAUGCGUAGCCGACCUGAGAGGGGGAUCGGCCACAAUGGAGCUGAGAGACGCUCCAGAACCCUACGGGAGGCAGCAGUAGGGAAUCUUCCGGAAGGGGCGAAAGCCUGACGGAGCAACGCAGCGUGAGUGAUGAAGGUCUUCGGAUCGUAAAACUCUGUUAUUAGGGAAGAACAAAUGUGUAAGUAACUAUGCACGUCUGGACGGUACCAAAUCAGAAAGCCACGGCUAACUACGU
rnacentral:rRNA from 1 species